rnacentral:rRNA from 1 species
AGCGAACGCUGGCGGCAGGCUUAACACAUGCAAGUCGAGCGGGCGUAGCAAUACGUCAGCGGCAGACGGGUGAGUAACGCGUGGGAACGUACCUUUUGAUUCGGAACAACACAGGGAAACUUGUGCUAAUACCGGAUAAGCCCUUACGGGGAAAGAUUUAUCGCCGAAAGAUCGGCCCGCGUCUGAUUAGCUAGUUGGUGAGGUAAUGGCUCACCAAGGCGACGAUCAGUAGCUGGUCUGAGAGGAUGAUCAGCCACAUUGGGACUGAGACACGGCCCAAACUCCUACGGGAGGCAGCAGUGGGGAAUAUUGGACAAUGGGCGCAAGCCUGAUCCAGCCAUGCCGCGUGAGUGAUGAAGGCCCUAGGGUUGUAAAGCUCUUUUGUGCGGGAAGAUAAUGACGGUACCGCAAGAAUAACGCCCCGGCUAACUUCGUGCCAGCAGCCGCAGUAAG